rnacentral:misc_RNA from 1 species
CGUAGGUGAACCUGCGGAAGGAUCAUUGUCGGUUUUGACUCGGGAAAACACGAUCGGAGCACACGUGACAGAACCCUGCUGGCGCGGACGCUCCGCUCCAGCAAACCGGCCACAGUCGCCGUGCCCUCCGGGUGCGUCGGCUGCUUGGCAGAUUACGGCGCGGGCUGACGCCAAGUGACCAGCGAUGCUGAGGCCGCGGCGGCAUAAUGUAGUGCCGAGUGCGGCUGACGCCAAUGAUUUUGACAUGACUCUCGGCAACGGAUAUCUCGGCUCUCGCAUCGAUGAAGAACGUAGCGAAAUGCGAUACGUGGUGUGAAUUGCAGAAUCCCGCGAACCAUCGAGUUUUUGAACGCAAGUUGCGCCCUAGGGACCUGCCCGAGGGCACGCCUGCCUCAUGGGCGUAAUUAGCCCAUCAACGCUCAUGUGUCGUAGCCAUGUCCCUUGUGACGGGCGUGGACCGAAGCGGAUGAUGGCCCUCCGAGCCUUGAGGGCAACGGCGGGCCCAAGUGUUUGUCGGUCGCAUGUGUCCGGGAUCGGUGAGUUGUGGGAACCUACAUGCUCCGCCCCGUGCAUCUGCUGGCGUCUGGCGUUUCAAAUUCGACCCAGGUUGAGGAGCUCGUUGCCGGUGCCCCCGGCCACGAGCAACCCUCGGACCGAUACCCCAGGUCAGGCGGGGCUACCCGCUGAGUUUAAGCAUA